CCUACGGGAGGCAGCAGUGGGGAAUAUUGCACAAUGGGCGCAAGCCUGAUGCAGCGACGCCGCGUGCGGGAUGGAGGCCUUCGGGUUGUAAACCGCUUUUGUUCAAGGGCAAGGCACGGUCUUUGGCCGUGUUGCGUGGAUUGUUCGAAUAAGCACCGGCUAACUACGUUCCAGCAGCCGCGGUAAUACGUAGGGUGCAAGCGUUAUCCGGAUUUAUUGGGCGUAAAGGGUGCGUAGGCGGGCCGUUAAGUCAGCGGUAAAAUUGCGGGGCUCAACCCUGUCGAGCCGUUGAAACUGGCAGACUUGAGUGGGCGAGAAGUACGCGGAAUGCGCGGUGUAGCGGUGAAAUGCAUAGAUAUCGCGCAGAACUCCGAUUGCGAAGGCAGCGUACCGGCGCCAGACUGACGCUGAGGCACGAAAGCGUGGGGAUCGAACAGGAUUAGAUACCCGGGUAGUC
rnacentral:rRNA from 1 species